GUUUUUGGAACAGAAAAUUUUGCAUAAAAAUGAUGUAAAAUUAUUUUACAAAAUUAAAAUGGUUUCACUUAAUAAUCUUAACUCAUGUUGAUGCUAUACUUAAUUGAGAAUUAAAAAAUAUAUUAUAGAUCUAGAAUUGUGAUUAAAGAUCUAAUGACAUUGCAUAAAAUAUGGGGCAUGGGUUAGCUCAAAUCAGGUUCUUUUAAUUGGGUUAAACUGAAGAUUAGAAUCAAAGACUUAAUGGACUAAAAAGAGUAGUUGAUCCAAUCUAACCAAUAGUUGAUUUUGAUUAGAUCAAGGAUACUCUAGAUCAAAAAUAAUAGUUGUAAAUGAUGGAGUCUAUAUCUUUGAUUAAACCAAAUGGACCUUGAUUAAGACUCAAAAGUUGAGCCCAAAUCAUUAGGCUGAUU
rnacentral:lncRNA from 1 species